rnacentral:rRNA from 1 species
AGAGUUUGAUCAUGGCUCAGAUUGAACGCUGGCGGCAGGCCUAACACAUGCAAGUCGAGCGGUAGCACAGAGAGCUUGCUCUCGGGUGACGAGCGGCGGACGGGUGAGUAAUGUCUGGGAAACUGCCUGAUGGAGGGGGAUAACUACUGGAAACGGUAGCUAAUACCGCAUAACGUCGCAAGACCAAAGUGGGGGACCUUCGGGCCUCAUGCCAUCAGAUGUGCCCAGAUGGGAUUAGCUAGUAGGUGGGGUAACGGCUCACCUAGGCGACGAUCCCUAGCUGGUCUGAGAGGAUGACCAGCCACACUGGAACUGAGACACGGUCCAGACUCCUACGGGAGGCAGCAGUGGGGAAUAUUGCACAAUGGGCGCAAGCCUGAUGCAGCCAUGCCGCGUGUGUGAAGAAGGCCUUCGGGUUGUAAAGCACUUUCAGCGGGGAGGAAGGCGGUGAGGUUAAUAACCUCAGCGAUUGACGUUACCCGCAGAAGAAGCACCGGCUAACUCCGUGCCAGCAGCCGCGGUAAUACGGAGGGUGCAAGCGUUAAUCGGAAUUACUGGGCGUAAAGCGCACGCAGGCGGUCUGUCAAGUCGGAUGUGAAAUCCCCGGGCUCAACCUGGGAACUGCAUUCGAAACUGGCAGGCUAGAGUCUUGUAGAGGGGGGUAGAAUUCCAGGUGUAGCGGUGAAAUGCGUAGAGAUCUGGAGGAAUACCGGUGGCGAAGGCGGCCCCCUGGACAAAGACUGACGCUCAGGUGCGAAAGCGUGGGGAGCAAACAGGAUUAGAUACCCUGGUAGUCCACGCCGUAAACGAUGUCGAUUUGGAGGUUGUGCCCUUGAGGCGUGGCUUCCGGAGCUAACGCGUUAAAUCGACCGCCUGGGGAGUACGGCCGCAAGGUUAAAACUCAAAUGAAUUGACGGGGGCCCGCACAAGCGGUGGAGCAUGUGGUUUAAUUCGAUGCAACGCGAAGAACCUUACCUGGUCUUGACAUCCACAGAACUUUCCAGAGAUGGAUUGGUGCCUUCGGGAACUGUGAGACAGGUGCUGCAUGGCUGUCGUCAGCUCGUGUUGUGAAAUGUUGGGUUAAGUCCCGCAACGAGCGCAACCCUUAUCCUUUGUUGCCAGCGGUUCGGCCGGGAACUCAAAGGAGACUGCCAGUGAUAAACUGGAGGAAGGUGGGGAUGACGUCAAGUCAUCAUGGCCCUUACGACCAGGGCUACACACGUGCUACAAUGGCAUAUACAAAGAGAAGCGACCUCGCGAGAGCAAGCGGACCUCAUAAAGUAUGUCGUAGUCCGGAUUGGAGUCUGCAACUCGACUCCAUGAAGUCGGAAUCGCUAGUAAUCGUAGAUCAGAAUGCUACGGUGAAUACGUUCCCGGGCCUUGUACACACCGCCCGUCACACCAUGGGAGUGGGUUGCAAAAGAAGUAGGUAGCUUAACCUUCGGGAGGGCGCUUACCACUUUGUGAUUCAUGACUGGGGUGAAGUCGUAACAAGGUAACCGUAGGGGAACCUGCGGUUGGAUCACCU